GACGAACGCUGGCGGCGUGCUUAACACAUGCAAGUCGAACGGAAAGGCCCUGCUUUUGUGGGGUGCUCGAGUGGCGAACGGGUGAGUAACACGUGAGUAACCUGCCCUUGACUUUGGGAUAACUUCAGGAAACUGGGGCUAAUACCGGAUAGGAGCUCCUGCUGCAUGGUGGGGGUUGGAAAGUUUCGGCGGUUGGGGAUGGACUCGCGGCUUAUCAGCUUGUUGGGGGGGUAGUGGUUUACCAAGGCUUUGACGGGUAGGCGGCCUGAGAGGGUGACCGGCCACCUUGGGACUGAGAUACGCACCAGAAUCCUACGGGAGGCAGCAGUGGGGAAUAUUGCACAAUGGGCGGAAGCCUGAGGCAGCAACGCCGCGUGCGGGAUGACGGCCUUCGGGUUGUAAACCGCUUUCGCCUGUGACGAAGCGUGAGUGACGGUAAUGGGUAAAGAAGCACCGGCUAACUACGUG
rnacentral:rRNA from 1 species